UUUCAGGAUGGCUUGAAUUCUUUGGUCCUUGAUCUGGAUUAUCCAGCGCUGAGGAAGAACAAGAACAUUGAUAAUUUUUUAAAUAGAUAUGAGAAGAUUGUGGAAAAAAUCCGAGCUUUACAAAUGAAAGCUGAAGACUAUGAUGUUGUUAAGGUGAUUGGAAGAGGGGCUUUUGGAGAAGUGCAGCUGGACUUCUAAAUCUUUCUGUCUGAUAAGUGUCACAAAAAUGUGAACAUAUGUAU